UACAGAGGUCUCAGGCGUUGUUCGGAUUCAUUGGGCGUAAAGGGUGCGUAGGUGGCGGGGUAAGUCAGGUGUGAAAUCUCGGGGCUCAACCCCGAAACUGCACUUGAUACUGCCUUGCUCGAGUACUGGAGAGGAGAUUGGAAUUUACGGUGUAGCAGUGAAAUGCGUAGAUAUCGUAAGGAAGACCAGUGGCGAAGGCGAAUCUCUGGACAGUUACUGACACUGAGGCACGAAGGCCAGGGGAGCAAACGGG
rnacentral:rRNA from 1 species